GAAAAACCAGAAAAGAAAUGGGAAAAAACAACUUU
rnacentral:rRNA from 1 species